UGGGGAAUAUUGUACAAUGGGCGCAAGCCUGACGCAGCGACGCCGCGUGAGGGAAGAAGGCCUUCGGGUUGUAAACCUCUUCAGUAGGGACGAAGCUACUCGGGUGAAUAGCCCAGAGGGUGACGGUACCUACAGAAGAAGCCCCGGCUAACUACGUGCCAGCAGCCGCGGUAAUACGUAGGGGGCAAGCGUUGUCCGGAUUUAUUGGGCGUAAAGAGCUCGUAGGUGGUUCGGUAAGUCGGAUGUGAAAUCUCCAGGCUCAACCUGGAGGGGUCAUUCGAUACUGCCGUGACUAGAGUUCGGUAGGGGAGUGUGGAAUUCCUGGUGGAGCGGUGAAAUGCGCAGAUAUCAGGAGGAACACCCGUAGCGAAGGCGGCACUCCGGGCCGAUACUGACACUGAGGAGCGAAAGCGUGGGGAGCGAACAGGAUUAGAUACC
rnacentral:rRNA from 1 species